rnacentral:rRNA from 1 species
CCUACGGGGUGCAGCAGUAGGGAAUAUUGCUCAAUGGGGGAAACCCUGAAGCAGCAACGCCGCGUGGAGGAUGAAGGUUUUCGGAUUGUAAACUCCUUUUGUUAGAGAAGAUAAUGACGGUAUCUAACGAAUAAGCACCGUCUAACUCCGUGCCAGCAGCCGCGGUAAUACGGAGGGUGCAAGCGUUACUCGGAAUCACUGGGCGUAAAGAGCGCGUAGGCGGGAUAGCAAGUCAGAUGUGAAAUCCUAUGGCUUAACCAUAGAAGUGCAUUUGAAACUGUUAUUCUAGAGUAUGGGAGAGGUAGGUGGAAUUCUUGGUGUAGGGGUAAAAUGCGUAGAGAUCAAGAGGAAUACUCAUUGCGAAGGCGACCUGCUAGAACAUAACUGACGCUGAUGCGCGAAAGCGUGGGAAGCAAACAGGAUUAGAUACCCCAGUAGUC